GCCGGGGUGGCGGAACUGGCAGACGCGGGGGACUUAAAAUCCCCUGGGCUUCGGCCCUUGCGGGUUCGAUUCCCGCCCCCGGCA
rnacentral:tRNA from 1 species